CAUCAACACCAGUGUUACUACUGUAGGGAAGUAUACAGGAGACUUGUAGAGAAUAACAUCAACACUGGUGUUACUACUGUAGGUAAGUAUACAGGAGACAUGUACAGAAUAACAACAACACUGGUGUUACUACUGUAGGUAAGUAUACAGGAGACUUGUAGAGAUUAACAUCAACACUGGAGUUACUACUGUAGGUGAGUAUACAGGAGACUUGUAGAGAAUAACAACAACACUGGUGUUACUACUGUAGGUAAGUAUACAGGAGACUUGUAGUGAAUAACAACAACACUGGUGUUACUACUGUAGGUAAGUAUACAGGAGACUUGUAGAGAAUGACAUCAACAUCAGUGUUACUACUGUAGGUAAGUAUACAGGAGACUUGUAGAGAUUAACAUCAACACUGGUGUUACUACUGUAGGUAAGUAUACAGGAGACUUAUGCUUGUAGACUUAUUAUAGCUU